rnacentral:rRNA from 1 species
AAUGGUAUCAGUGGUAGGGGAGCGUUCUAAGGACAGUGAAGUCAGACCGGAAGGACUGGUGGAGUGCUUAGAAGUGAGAAUGCCGGUAUGAGUAGCGAAAGACGGGUGAGAAUCCCGUCCACCGAAUGCCUAAGGUUUCCUGAGGAAGGCUCGUCCGCUCAGGGUUAGUCAGGACCUAAGCCGAGGCCGACAGGCGUAGGCGAUGGACAACAGGUUGAUAUUCCUGUACCACCUCUUUAUCGUUUGAGCAAUGGAGGGACGCAGAAGGAUAGAAGAAGCGUGCGAUUGGUUGUGCACGUCCAAGCAGUUAGGCUGAUAAGUAGGCAAAUCCGCUUAUCGUGAAGGCUGAGCUGUGAUGGGGAAGCUCCUUAUGGAGCGAAGUCUUUGAUUCCCCGCUGCCAAGAAAAGCUUCUAGCGAGAUAAAAGGUGCCUGUACCGCAAACCGACACAGGUAGGCGAGGAGAGAAUCCUAAGGUGUGCGAGAGAACUCUGGUUAAGGAACUCGGCAAAAUGACCCCGUAACUUCGGGAGAAGGGGUGCUUUCUUAACGGAAAGCCGCAGUGAAUAGGCCCAAGCGACUGUUUAGCAAAAACACAGCUCUCUGCGAAGCCGUAAGGCGAAGUAUAGGGGGUGACACCUGCCCGGUGCUGGAAGGUUAAGGAGAGGGGUUAGCGUAAGCGAAGCUCUGAACUGAAGCCCCAGUAAACGGCGGCCGUAACUAUAACGGUCCUAAGGUAGCGAAAUUCCUUGUCGGGUAAGUUCCGACCCGCACGAAAGGUGUAACGAUUUGGGCACUGUCUCAACCAGAGACUCGGUGAAAUUAUAGUACCUGUGAAGAUGCAGGUUACCCGCGACAGGACGGAAAGACCCCGUGGAGCUUUACUGUAGCCUGAUAUUGAAUUUUGGUACAGUUUGUACAGGAUAGGCGGGAGCCUUUGAAACCGGAGCGCUAGCUUCGGUGGAGGCGCUGGUGGGAUACCGCCCUGACUGUAUUGAAAUUCUAACCUACGGGUCUUAUCGACCCGGGAGACAGUGUCAGGUGGGCAGUUUGACUGGGGCGGUCGCCUCCUAAAGUGUAACGGAGGCGCCCAAAGGUUCCCUCAGAAUGGUUGGAAAUCAUUCGUAGAGUGCAAAG